CAAAGAUUCCUUCCAAGACCCUCCAGAAAAGUGGACCUACCUUGAAGACCUGAGCCCUUCCGAGGAUGGGAGAUGCUACUAAUAGAUGGAAAUUGUGGAUGCAAAUCCUUUCAUGUUGGAUGAAACUCCACAUUGAGAGGCUUGAGGAAUGAAGCUACUGGAGAAAUUGAAAAGGAUGACUCCUGGUACCCAAGUGGAAGAUGGAAGCUAAACUUUGUCUAAUCAAGACUCUAUGAAAUGGGUGUG
rnacentral:lncRNA from 1 species